rnacentral:rRNA from 1 species
AUUGAACGCUGGCGGCAGGCUUAACACAUGCAAGUCGAGCGGUAGCACAAGAGAGCUUGCUCUCUGGGUGACGAGCGGCGGACGGGUGAGUAAUGUCUGGGAAACUGCCUGAUGGAGGGGGGAUAACUACUGGAAACGGUAGCUAAUACCGCAUAACGUCGCAAGACCAAAGAGGGGGACCUUCGGGCCUCUUGCCAUCAGAUGUGCCCAGAUGGGAUUAGCUAGUAGGUGGGGUAAUGGCUCACCUAGGCGACGAUCCCUAGCUGGUCUGAGAGGAUGACCAGCCACACUGGAACUGAGACACGGUCCAGACUCCUACGGGAGGCAGCAGUGGGGAAUAUUGCACAAUGGGCGCAAGCCUGAUGCAGCCAUGCCGCGUGUGUGAAGAAGGCCUUCGGGUUGUAAAGCACUUUCAGCGAGGAGGAAGGUGGUGAACUUAAUACGUUCAUCAAUUGACGUUACUCGCAGAAGAAGCACCGGCUAACUCCGUGCCAGCAGCCGCGGUAAUACGGAGGGUGCAAGCGUUAAUCGGAAUUACUGGGCGUAAAGCGCACGCAGGCGGUUUGUUAAGUCAGAUGUGAAAUCCCCGGGCUCAACCUGGGAACUGCAUUUGAAACUGGCAAGCUAGAGUCUCGUAGAGGGGGGUAGAAUUCCAGGUGUAGCGGUGAAAUGCGUAGAGAUCUGGAGGAAUACCGGUGGCGAAGGCGGCCCCCUGGACGAAGACUGACGCUCAGGUGCGAAAGCGUGGGGAGCAAACAGGAUUAGAUACCCUGGUAGUCCACGCUGUAAACGAUGUCGAUUUGGAGGUUGUGCCCUUGAGGCGUGGCUUCCGGAGCUAACGCGUUAAAUCGACCGCCUGGGGAGUACGGCCGCAAGGUUAAAACUCAAAUGAAUUGACGGGGGCCCGCACAAGCGGUGGAGCAUGUGGUUUAAUUCGAUGCAACGCGAAGAACCUUACCUACUCUUGACAUCCAGAGAACUUUCCAGAGAUGGAUUGGUGCCUUCGGGAACUCUGAGACAGGUGCUGCAUGGCUGUCGUCAGCUCGUGUUGUGAAAUGUUGGGUUAAGUCCCGCAACGAGCGCAACCCUUAUCCUUUGUUGCCAGCGGUUCGGCCGGGAACUCAAAGGAGACUGCCAGUGAUAAACUGGAGGAAGGUGGGGAUGACGUCGAGUCAUCAUGGCCCUUACGAGUAGGGCUACACACGUGCUACAAUGGCAUAUACAAAGAGAAGCGACCUCGCGAGAGCAAGCGGACCUCAUAAAGUAUGUCGUAGUCCGGAUUGGAGUCUGCAACUCGACUCCAUGAAGUCGGAAUCGCUAGUAAUCGUAGAUCAGAAUGCUACGGUGAAUACGUUCCCGGGCCU